UACGUAGGGGGCGAGCGUUGUUCGGAGUUACUGGGCGUAAAGAGUGCGUAGGUGGUGCCCUAAGUCUGUUGUGAAAUCUCCCGGCUUAACUGGGAGGGUGCGGUGGAAACUGGGGUGCUUGAGUGUGGGAGAGGUAAGCGGAAUUCCUGGUGUAGCGGUGAAAUGCGUAGAUAUCAGGAGGAACACCAGUGGUGUAGACGGCUUACUGGACCACGACUGACACUGAGGCACGAAAGCGUGGGUAGCAAACAGG
rnacentral:rRNA from 1 species